rnacentral:lncRNA from 1 species
UUUUCGUUUUGAAUUUUCCUCAGAGUUCAGUAUUUUUGUGAUUUUACUUUUUAGAUGAGAUGUGGAGUAUAAGUUGAUGAGACAACAACCCACAAAAAAUAAUUUAAGACAGUUGCAGGUCAAUGUACGAUCUUCAACAAUAGACAAUCACAUUUACUAUAUAAUAUGCCAGGCUUAGCAUCCCAAACUAUUCCGUAAGACUGUUUUCAUAUUACCGACUUUUGACUCCGGA